rnacentral:rRNA from 1 species
CGCCUUGCCAGCCCGCUCAGAACUUAAAGGAAUUGACGGGGCCGCACAAGCGGAGGAGCAUGUGGUUAAUUCGAUGAUACGCGAGGAACCUUACCUGGGCUCGAACGUAAGAUGACUGUAGGUGAAAGCUUACAUCUCUUCGGAGCAUUUUACGAGGUGCUGCAUGGUUGUCGUCAGCUCGUGCCGUGAGGUGUCGGGUUAAGUCCCAUAACGAGCGCAACCCCUACCUUUAGUUGCCAUCAGGUAAUGCUGGGGACUCUAAAGGAACUGCCUACGCAAGUAGUGAGGAAGGCGGGGAUGACGUCAAAUCAGCACGGCCCUUACGUCCAGGGCUACACACGUGCUACAAUGGCCGAUACAGAGGGCAGCUACCUGGUGACAGGAUGCAAAUCUCCAAAGUCGGUCUCAGUUCGGAUCGGAGUCUGCAACCCGACUCCGUGAAGUUGGAUUCGCUAGUAAUCGCGCAUCAGCCAUGGCGCGGUGAAUACGUUCCCGGGCCUU